GUGAAAUUGUUGAAAGGGAAAACGAUUGAAGUCAGUCGUACCGACGAGAAUUCAACUCUUCAAGUGCGAACUUGUGGGCGUGCGUGAGCGUUUAAAACCUACGCUGUUUGCAACGUCUGUGCUUUUUGGGUGUACGUUUUUCGCAUGGUAGGCCAACGUCAGUUUCGUUUACCAUAAAAUGACCGGAGGAAUGUAGCUUCGAUCUCGUAUUGAAGUGUUAUAGCCCUUGGUAGAUGUGGUGAACGAAAACUGAGGAUUGCAACGAAUACCCUUUGGGCUAUCCGUCUGACCUCUGAAAGUUACUUAGGUGUCGAAAGCAUGCUUACGGUCAUUUAAGUUGACGGUCAACAGGUUAGAACGUGAUUACAUUCGUUAAGGACGUUGACGUAAUGGCUUUAAACGAC
rnacentral:rRNA from 1 species